rnacentral:lncRNA from 1 species
AGGAGUUGUGAAAAUGGGUGUCACUUUGGUGGGUGUGGUUGUCACUCCCAGGACUAAGACAAAAUGUUUAAUUUUAGUCACAUUUUCCCAUAGUCAGGAAAAACUAAAGGGUUGUGAAAAUGGGUGUCACUUUGGUGGGUGUGGUCGUCACUCCCAGGACUCAGACGAAAUGUUUAAUUUUAGUCACAUUUUCCUAUAGUCAGCAAAAACUAAAGGGUUGUGAAAAUGGGUGUCACUUUGGUGGGUGUGGUUGUCACUCCCAGGACUCAGACGAAAUGUUUAAUUUUAGUCAUAUUUUCCUAUAGUCAGCAAAAACUAAAGGGUUGUGAAAAUGGGUGUCACUUUGGUGGAUGUGGUUGUCACUCCCAGGACUAAGAUGAAAUGACAAACUUUA